AUUGAACGCUGGCGGCAGGCCUAACACAUGCAGGUCGAGCGGAUGAAGGGAGCUUGCUCCUGGAUUCAGCGGCGGACGGGUGAGUAAUGCCUAGGAAUCUGCCUGGUAGUGGGGGAUAACGUCCGGAGACGGGCGCUAAUACCGCAUACGUCCUGAGGGAGAAAGCGGGGGAUCUUCGGACCUCACGCUAUCAGAUGAGCCUAGGUCGGAUUAGCUAGUUGGUGGGGUAAAGGCCUACCAAGGCGACGAUCCGUAACUGGUCUGAGAGGAUGAUCAGUCACACUGGAACUGAGACACGGUCCAGACUCCUACGGGAGGCAGCAGUGGGGAAUAUUGGACAAUGGGCGAAAGCCUGAUCCAGCCAUGCCGCGUGUGUGAAGAAGGUCUUCGGAUUGUAAAGCACUUUAAGUUGGGAGGAAGGGCAGUAAGUUAAUACCUUGCUGUUUUGACGUUACCAACAGAAUAAGCACCGGCUAACUUCGUG
rnacentral:rRNA from 1 species